rnacentral:misc_RNA from 1 species
UCCGGCUUACCACCGGCGGUCCCAUUAGAGUGCCCAACUUAAUGAUGGCAACUAAUGGCGAGGGUUGCGCUCGUUGCGGGACUUAACCCAACAUCUCACGACACGAGCUGACGACAGCCAUGCAGCACCUGUGUGAUGGUUCUCUUUCGAGCACUCCCAAAUCUCUUCGGGAUUCCAUCCAUGUCAAGGGUAGGUAAGGUUUUUCGCGUUGCAUCGAAUUAAUCCACAUCAUCCACCGCUUGUGUGGGCCCCCGUCAAUUCCUUUGAGUUUCAGUCUUGCGACCGUACUCCCCAGGCGGCGAACUUAACGCGUUAGCUGCGUUACCAAGUCAAUUAAGACCCGACAACUAGUAGACAUCGUUUAGGGCGUGGACUAC